CCAUGAUCCUGGAAGAUGCAUGUUUAUAAGGGCUGGCCAGGCUCCUUCCUGGCUGUCCAGAGGGCCUGAGCCAGCACUUAAUGUUUUAAGAGACACCACAUUCCUUAUGCGGUGUUUUAUGAACUCAGCUGCUGGAGUAUAGGGACAAGAGGCUGAAAUAGAAAGACCAUUGAAUGAAGCCUUCAUUCAGAGGCACAUCUUUGGCUCUGCCCCUCUUGCCAAGGUGGAGUGAUGGAUUUCAUCAGGGAGAGGAGCUGAUCUUUGGCAGACAAACCACAGGCUGAAUCCUUGGCAGGAGCAGCCCCGUUGGUGAUGGAAUGAAGGUUGUAUUUGAAAGUAAUUCCUAAGCCCUGUGUUUCUGAUGGAUAAAUUCUGUGUCUUAACUGCAAACAGAGACAUAAAGGCUGUGGUUGUGUUACAGUCGUGCUUGUUUCAGUUGCUCAACUGCCCUGAAAGACAACUGCUUCUGUAUCAGCUUCAAGUAUUUCCCUGCUCUAUUUGCCUCAGCUGGAGUCUGGGAUGUGGUUACCCUGCAGUAUUGCCAUUGUGGGUGUUUCGGGUGAAUACACUCGGAAUAGAGCAGGAAGAUGCAGAUAAAACAGCCACUUUGAGGUGAAAAUGAGAGCGUUCACGUUACACCCACCUCUUGAAUUUGUACCUGACUGUUCGCAUUGAAAAGCUGAUUCUAAGAACUCAGCAGGUCCCGUCAGGAGCAGAAUAAUACCACAGAAACCCUGGCCAGCCUGAGGCUGAGUGAAUAUUGGGAAUUGUGAUUAACUUCUGAGGAAUGUAUCCGGAGCAAGUCAUGUUUUCUGGGCAUUUGUAGGUAAUAAUUUCAACCCUUGGAUCUGUGAGUGAAGGUUGCCACCAGUUCUCACACAAAUAGAUGUGAAAGGCAUCAGAUAAAUACUGGCUUCUGACCUGUUCACUCGUGUGUAACGUGCUCAAAUGGCUGUGUUGACUGCAUAGGAGGAGCGAGCUGCAAAGGGAGCAACCGGAUCCCUCUAUGAAAUUUCUUCAUCACCUUCAAGUGAGACUGAGUCCAGAGUCCACCCUUGUCACCUGAAGGGAUGGGGAGCAAAAGUAUGUUUCACAUUGGAGAGUGGUAUUCAGAUAAGGGGUAAACCAGCCCAUAUAACACAGACAACAUGGAAGAAAGGCUUUGGUCUCUCCCUCUUAGUGUGCUGCCAGGGACCCCAGGCUAAACACAGUGUGUCCACAGUGGCAUUCCCAGUCACAGAGGAGGUUGUAAGU